GACGAACGCUGGCGGCGUGCUUAACACAUGCAAGUCGAACGGAAAGGCCCUGCUUUUGUGGGGGGCUCGAGUGGCGAACGGGUGAGUAACACGGGGGUAGCCUGCCCUUGGCUUUGGGAUAACUUCAAGGAACUGGGGCUAAUACCGGAUAGGUGCUCCUGCUGCAUGGUGGGGGUUGGAAAGUUUGGGCGGUUGGGGAUGGACUCGCGGCUUAUCAGCUUGUUUGUGGGGAAGUGGCUUACCAAGGCUUUGACGGGUAGCCGGCCUGAGAGGGUGACCGGCCACAUUGGGACUGAGAUACGGCCCAGACUCCUACGGGAGGCAGCAGUGGGGAAUAUUGCACAAUGGGCGGAAGCCUGAUGCAGCAACGCCGCGUGCGGGAUGACGGCCUUCGGGUUGUAAACCGCUUUCGCCUGUGACGAAGCGUGAGUGACGGUAAUGGGCAAAGAAGCACCGGCUAACUACGUG
rnacentral:rRNA from 1 species